rnacentral:rRNA from 1 species
UACGGGGGGGGCAAGCGUUGUUCGGAAUUACUGGGCGUAAAGGGCUCGUAGGUGGCCAACUAAGUCAGACGUGAAAUCCCUCGGCUUAACCGGGGAACUGCGUCUGAUACUGGACGGCUUGAGUUUGGGAGAGGGACGCGGAAUUCCUGGUGUAGCGGUGGAAUGCGCAGAUAUCAGGAGGAACACCAGCGGCGAAGGCGGCGCUCUGGGCCGGUACUGACGCUGAGGAGCGAAAGCGUGGGUAGCAAACAGG